rnacentral:lncRNA from 1 species
GCGGAAAAUAAAAAAUAUAAGGAUUUAUCAAGAAAAGGCGUUUGUUGAAGAGAUUUUAAUGAAAAUUAACCUAAGGAUACCAUGGAUGCUGGAAAAUUAAUUAAAACCCAGGUUCCUCAAGAUUUUUUUUAACUCCAAUAACCAUUAAUCGGAAAAAAAGGAUUUUUAUUUCGGAAUAAUAAGGAAAAUAAGAAAUGCAAGGAUUUAUCAAGAAAAGGCGUGUAUUGAAGAGAUAUUAAUGGAAAUUAACCUGAAAAUUCCGUGGAUGAUGAAAAAUCAAUUAAAACCAACGUUUGAUAAGAUCUUUUUAGCUCCGAUAACCAUUAAUCAGAAGAAAGGGAUUCUUGUUUCGGAAUAAUACGGAAAAUACGAAAUAAAAGGAUUUAUCAAGAAAAGGCGCUUAUUGAUGAGAUUUGAAUGGAAAUUACCCUAAGGAUGCUGAAAAGUCAAUUAAAACCAAGGUUCAUCAAGAUUUUUUUUUAACUCCAAUAACAAUUAACCAGAAGAAAAUGGGUUUUGUUUAUAUCUAAUUAGGAAUAAAAGGAUAUAUCAAGGGUUCUUAUUCGGAUUGGAAAUUAAAAUAUUUUAAAGAAAGUCUUUACAUACAUUAUUUCUUGUUCUUGGCUUGAUUAUGCUAAUCACUUUAUGAUACUACCUUUGACAUGGUAGUAAUUAGGAGCUCAUUUUUAAGGACAAUAGAUUUUAUUUGAAAUAUAAA